GUCCACGCUGUAAACGAUGAGUGCUAGAUAUCGGAGCUUUAGUUUCGGUGUCGCAGCUAACGCAUUAAGCACUCCGCCUGGGGAGUACGGUCGCAAGAUUAAAACUCAAAGGAAUUGACGGGGGCCCGCACAAGCGGUGGAGCAUGUGGUUUAAUUCGAUGCUACGCGAAGAACCUUACCAACCCUUGACAUCUGGAUCGCGGAUUGCAGAGAUGCUUUCCUUCAGUUCGGCUGGAUCCAAGACAGGUGUUGCAUGGCUGUCGU
rnacentral:rRNA from 1 species